AGAUUGAACGCUGGCGGCAGGCCUAACACAUGCAAGUCGAGCGGCAGCACGGGUACUUGUACCUGGUGGCGAGCGGCGGACGGGUGAGUAAUGCCUAGGAAUCUGCCUGGUAGUGGGGGAUAACGCUCGGAAACGGACGCUAAUACCGCAUACGUCCUACGGGAGAAAGCAGGGGACCUUCGGGCCUUGCGCUAUCAGAUGAGCCUAGGUCGGAUUAGCUAGUUGGUGAGGUAAUGGCUCACCAAGGCGACGAUCCGUAACUGGUCUGAGAGGAUGAUCAGUCACACUGGAACUGAGACACGGUCCAGACCUCCGUACGGGAGCAGCAGGUGGGAAUAGUGGACAAGUGGGCGAAAGCCUGAUCCGAGUCCAGUCGACCGGCGUGGUGUAGGAAG
rnacentral:rRNA from 1 species